rnacentral:lncRNA from 1 species
CAAACUGCCAAGCCUGAGUGCAGGACUCUCAUCUGUAAAGAGGAGACUUUGCCUCUUCCCUCAGGAUCUGUCUACUGAACCUCGGGUUUAGACCCAGAUUCCUUGUGUUUAUUCCCAGAAGAUGCAUCUGUGGCUCCAGGUGGGUGCGUUUUACAAGGAUCUUCAUUCCGAGUCCUGAGAUUGUCCAUGUGGACCCGGGUGGUUGUCUCAGCACAGGAGACCCCGUUGUCCACAGGGAAGAGACCCCUGUGGAGACCACAGACAGCAAAGCGCCCUGUGCUACACUGCACUUACCCUAUGUCCACACUUCUCCUGUGCAGCUGCUUUAGUGACUAAAUCACGGUAGGAGGGGAACUGUAAUUAACUAUACCACAGAAUAAUGAGAGAGUGUGGGAGAAGUUAUCAAUCUGUGACCUCUCACUCCCUCUCUGACCUUCACUCACACUUAUGAGCUGAGAAGGUGAGGGACAUGAAUGUGUGGGACAGUGGAUCUGAUAACCGAGCUGGCCCCAGAGUUCCUCAGGCCUGAGCAGUGUGGACAUUGGAGGAAAGAUGAUUCUCAGGCCAGAGAGCACACGCUGGUGAUGUGAGGUUUCAUCCCUGGUCAGUAGUGUGGGGAAAGAUUAAAUUUACACCUUUCUUGAUUCUGUGGAUCUCUCCAAAUCGCAGCCACAGAACUGAAGUGGAAAGAAGAGGAGAGAUGGGUGGGGGCUCCUGAAGAGAGUCACCCAUAACUCAGAGUAACAACUGUGGUGACCACUGGUGUGAACUCCAGUCCCCUCCCCAUGCAGGUCUCCACAGC